ensembl:lncRNA
GAGGGUAGGUUAGGUAAGUAGUGGGUAGGUAGGUUAGGUAAGUAGUGGGCAGGCAGGUAAGGUAGGAGAGGUUAGGUAAGUAGUGGGUAGGUAGGAGAGGGUAGGUUAGGUAAGUAGUGGGUAGGCGGGUAGGUAGGAGAGGGUAGGUUAGGUAAGUAGUGGGUAGGCGGGCAGGUAAGGUAGGAGAGGUUAGGUAAGUAGUGGGCAGGCAGGUAAGGUAGGAGAGGUUAGGUAAGUAGUGAGUAGGCAGGUAAGGUAGGAGAGGAUAGGUAAGUAGUGAGUAAGCAGGUAAGGUAGGAGAGGUUAGGUAAGUAGUGGGUAGACAGGUAAGUAGUGGGUAGACAGGUUAGGAGAGGGUAGGUUAGGUAAGUAGUGGGCAGGCAGGUAAUGUAGGAGAGGGUAGGUUAGGUAAGAGAGGGUAGGUUAGGUAAGUAGUGGGCAGGCAGGUAAGGUAGGAGAGGUUAGACAGGUAAGUAGUGGGCAGGCAGGUAAGGUAGGAGAGGUUAGGUUAGGUAAGUAGUGGGCAGACAGGUAAGGUAGGAGAGGGUAGGUUAGGUAAGUAGUGGGCAGACAGGUAAGGUAGGAGAGGGUAGGUUAGGUAAGUAGUGGGCAGGCAGGUAAGGUAGGAGAGGGUAGGUUAGGUAAGUAGUGGGUAGACAGGUAAGGUA